CGUUCAUCGCGAUCGUCGGAGCUUGUGGUAGCGCUAAGCUAAAGCUAAAGCUUGCUGGUAUCGACGGAGCGUGUUGCUGUAAUUGUGUGCGUCUUUCCCACAAAUAUGUGAUAGACGGGAGGGGGGGAGUCUGCCUGCGGGAUCAAUCUUGAUGUUGUUCAUUUGUAGUUUUUAUUUCCUUGUCAUGAAGCUGCAAGAUAAAAAGACAAAUGUCAUGUUGAAAUUGUAAUCCCACCCGGGCGCUCCAAUUUAAAACUUGAAUCGUGAAAACAAAACAAGAAACAAUCACUUUGACUCGUGUCACGUUUUAUUCCACCGUCUUACGUGUACACUGACAGUAAAGUGUACACCGGUCAGUAAACAAUAAAUACAAAUAAACCCGCGACGCCGCAUACAACCUCCAAUUGAGGUGUAAUACUUUGCCAACUGUGAUUCAAGCCUAUAUUAAGAGUUGCCACUCAGGAGCUGAACAAAGUGCUAAGACUGUUUGAAAAUAAAAUGCUUACAACCACUGUAAAAAAAGUUGCUCCAAGCCCUUGUUGAAUCACAUUUACAAAGAUUUGUUUUAAAACACCCGAGCUGAAACAUGCAAACAGCACA